CGGAGUGUCGGCUAGCAUGGUUUUGGCCACCUGGUUUGGGACCAGGAUCUCUAACGAGAAACGCAGGUUCAAAUCCUGUCACUCCGACCA
rnacentral:tRNA from 1 species